AAGUAGAAGAGAGAGCGAGAGAAGAGAGAGAGAGAGAGAGAUCGAUGUGCGGAAGGGGCUUUGGUUGGAAAGGAAAAUGUGGGAGGGAGAGAGAGAGAGAUCAAAGGGAUACCAUAAGAAUCUGUGGUUUCAAUGGAGGGUCAAUAGAACGAGAGAAAAAGAUUUAGGGGUUAAAAUAGAACACACAGGGAGAAGAGAGAGAUUUGAGGGGAGAGAUAUAUAGGAGAGGAAGAGAGAGAGGCGGUGACGAUAUAUGGCUUAGGUGUUAUUCAGCCAGUGAUGGAAAUGGAUGUAUGGCUCAUAUGUGAAAUUUAUUAAAUACUCCUUCGCGAUUCGUUCACAUAUAUGGAGAAUUUCAAGGAGCAUAUGUAAACCAAGUCUCGUGGCUCCUUCUUCAU